GGGGUCGACUGGUUUUGACAGCGAGUUGUAUUGAACUGUAAGCACGUCGCGUAAUGACAUUGAAACGCGUUAAAGACUAGGUCAAAUUUUAAACGGCGAGAAUAACUACGCUUUAGCUGCAUAAUCUGAAUUAUAGUAAGAUUAGCCUUGUCCUACUAGGUAGGAAAGCUGAAUGUCUCUUGAAAGCCUUGGUUAACGGCGUUCUGUUAGAGACAUCGUAAAUGUUAACAUAGAAAAUGUAAAGCUUUGGUACAUUUUUGAAACUAAAAAGAUAAGUAAUACUGUGGGCCGUUUUUAGUCAGCAUAUUAUCGAAAACCAAUUAAAAACUAAACGUGAAGAAAGCACUUUGAUAGCUUGUUUGGACCCGAGUUCGAUUCUCGGCGACUCCAC
rnacentral:tmRNA from 1 species